rnacentral:rRNA from 1 species
CAGAGGGUGCAAGCGUUAAUCGGAAUUACUGGGCGUAAAGCGUGCGUAGACGGUUAUGUAAGUCAGAUGUGAAAGCCCCGGGCUCAACCUGGGAAUUGCAUUUGAGACUGCAUAGCUAGGAUGCGGAAGAGGGAAGUGGAAUUUCCGGUGUAGCGGUGAAAUGCGUAGAUAUCGGAAGGAACAUCAGUGGCGAAAGCGACUUCCUGGUCCAGCAUCGACGUUCAGGCACGAAAGCGUGGGGAGCAAACAGGAUUAGAUACCCUGGUAGUCCACGCCAUAAACGAUGAGAACUAGACGUUGAGAGGGUAAGCCUCCCAGUGUCGUAGCUAACGCGCUAAGUUCUCCGCCUGGGGAGUACGGCCGCAAGGUUG